CAGCCGCCACGGUAAUACGAAGGGGGCUAGCGUUGCCCGGAAUUACUGGGCGUAAAGGGAGCGUAGGCGGGUCGUUUAGUCAGAGGUGAAAUCCCGGGGCUCAACCUCGGAACUGCCUUUGAUACUGGCGACCUUGAGUAUGGGAGAGGUAAGCGGAACUCCGAGUGUAGAGGUGAAAUUCGUAGAUAUUCGGAAGAACACCAGUGGCGAAGGCGGCUUACUGGCCCAUUACUGACGCUGAGGCUCGAAAGCGUGGGGAGCAAACAGGAUUAGAUACCCCCGUAGUCCCUGUCUCUUAUAC
rnacentral:rRNA from 1 species